AAGAGAAAAGUUAAAUUUUAGCUAUUCUCAGAAAAGGUGAACUGAUGGUUGUUAACCAAGGCAGGCUAGAGAUGUUUCAGAGGAGGGGGAGCAGGGCAGAAGAUUUCCUGUAGUGUCUAAAUCUUCUGUAAGUUUUCUUACCUUUCUGGGUUGUCUUUUUCUUUUCAACAUCGACCACAAGGCUUUGUUUUUUGUUUUUUUUCCUAGGAACGGGUGGAAGGAUAUCUAGCUGAAUUGAAAUUGACAAAACUGGGUAACUCAGACAGGGCAGCCUCCGGAGAGGCCUUUAACCACAAAAGAGGUAUUGAAGUCAAUAUAAUCAAUAGAGUGUUGUGGAUGCAGGAGGAAGAUGAUGAAACCCAUCAAAUUUGAUCACUGGGCAGGAGUGGUCAGUGUCAGCUUCUUAAAGAAGGCUCACUUAAUGUCACCCUCCACUCAAAGCUUUCCACACCUAUGCUAAUACUAUAGGCUGCAUGGCUUGCACUGCCUUGAGCACUCAGGAACCUCUGCAUUGUAGAUGUAUACAUUUCCUGAACUUCUAGGUUUUAGAACUUUCAUUUCAAGUGUCCAUUUCAAUUAGUCAUUACUCACCUCUCUGAAGGCUUGUUCAAUCAUUCAUUAGUUUGUUCUGCUGUAAUUUAUCCAUAGUAACUUUUGGGAAAUCUGACCAGAGGAUCCUUGCCACUUUUCUUCUCAAGAGGUAGAGUCUGUUUCCCCAUCCUAACUCCUGAUGUGUUCUAAAAGUACAAGGCCAUGAUCCUUUAAGUCAUAGCCAAGUUCCAAUGUUGACAGCAGCCAUGAUGGCUAGAGGAGAGAGAAACUCAAGUGAAGUUAGCCGCAAAUACUAACACACUGUGGUUAGCAAACAAAGGAGCUUAAAAUAAACU
rnacentral:lncRNA from 1 species